rnacentral:rRNA from 1 species
AACGGGUAUGAUGGUUUAAUGAAUUAGUAAGAUCUUGUGUAAAAAUUUUUAAAGUUUUAUUUUAAGUAAAAAUACUUGAAUAGGUUAGGGGGACGAUAAGACCCUAAAAGCUUAAAUUUGUGUUUUAGGUGGGUUUAAUGAUACAAUAUAUUUUAAUCGUUAAAGUUUUAGCUGGGGUAGUUUUUUUAUUUAAAUUAAGAGUAUGUAAAACUAGGCAGGUUAUAAGGUCCUUUGUAUAAGGAUAGUUAGAAUCAGUUACUUUAGGGGUAACAGCGUAAUAUUUUUGGAGAGAUCUUAUUUAUAAGAGUGAUUGCGACCUCCAUGUUGAAUUAAAUUAAUUUUGUGGGGCAGCCAGCACGAAAUAGAGGUUUGUUCAACCUGUUGUAKUUUACAUGAUUU